rnacentral:rRNA from 1 species
GACGAACCGUGCGAACGUUAUUCGGAAUCACUGGGCUUAAAGCGCGUGUAGGCGGCCUUCUAAGUCCCUUGUGAAAUCCCACGGCUCACCCGUGGAACUGCUUGGUAUACUGGUUGUCUUGAGCCUUCUAGGGGCGAGUGGAACAAAUGGUGGAGCGGUGAAAUGCGUAGAUAUCAUUUGGAACGCCAAUGGUGAAAACAACUCGCUGGGGAAGUGCUGACGCUGAGACACGAAAGCCAGGGGAGCGAACGGG